rnacentral:rRNA from 1 species
AUUGAACGCUGGCGGCAGGCCUAACACAUGCAAGUCGAACGAGUGGCGGACGGGUGAGUAAUGUCUGGGAAACUGCCUGAUGGAGGGGGAUAACUACUGGAAACGGUAGCUAAUACCGCAUACCAUCGGAUGUGCCCAGAUGGGAUUAGCUAGUAGGUGGGGUAACGGUGCACCUAGGCGACGAUCCCUAGCUGGUCUGAGAGGAUGACCAGCCAGACUGGAACGGUGACACGGUCCGUACUCCUGCGGGAGGCAGCAGUGGGGAAUAUUGCACAGUGGGCGCAAGCCUGAUGCAGCCAUGCCGCGUGUGUGAAGGGGGCCUUCGGGUUGUAAAGCACUUUCAGCGAGGAGGCGUUACUCGCAGAAGAAGCACGGGCUAACUCCGUGACAGCAGCCGCGGGAAUUC